rnacentral:snRNA from 1 species
UUCUUAUAAAACAACCCACG